rnacentral:lncRNA from 1 species
UCGAUUGGGGAGCCAGACAGACGCUCCUCGAAUCUUCCAGAAGCAGUUGCGGCACAAGGGAGCAGAGCUAAGGUUGGAAACCCUAGCUGGAAAUUUUGGGUUUUGGGCCUAGUUCAUUUUGGGCCGUUGUAUUGGGUCAAAGGGGUAAUGGGCAUAGGAUAGGCUUACGGGGUAUUUGGGCUACCGGGUGUAACAGGUCUAUUUGGAUUUUAACUUUUGGGCUGUAAAGGGACUGUUUAAUAAACAUUUAUUUAUUAUUAUUUAAUUUUGGUUUUUGGUUUCAAGGCCCGGUCAAAUUUAGGGUUACUACAGCUGCCCCUCUUUUCUUAUUGCUGUGUAAUAGGAAUCAAGCAAAGAGUCAUAGAAAGACCCAAUUUGACCGGCCUUAUCAAAUAAUGGAAUUCAAUUUUAUGACUGUUAUGUUGAGAUCUUUGAUCUGCUCCCCGCCGAUCGUAGAGAUGUCGAAUCUGUUUCUUCGAUUUGUGGGGAUGCCAAAUCAACUUGAGUCUGUUUUGAGAACAUCUGAGAGUCAAAUCUGCUACGUCCUUGAUUUGUUCUUUCUAAGCACAAAGAUGCCAACUGUACAAGCCCAAUUUUGGGCCCAAUACCCAAAACCCACUAAACCCAAACCAACUUAAACCUACCCAAAACCCAAAUAACCUAGCCCAAUACAUUAAAGAAAAUAAAUGAAAACCUAAAACCCUAGCCGUCAGCACAUGCCCCCCACCCCAUCCACCACCGACGCCUGCAAGUGGCCUCUGCUCCACCGCUCAUUUUCCUACAAAGAGAGACAAUGUAAUAUAAAAAAAGGAUUUGUAAUGGCUAUUUAAGGCCGAAUCAAAGAACGAUGUAAGGAGGAGGACAUUUUGGUGAAAAAUAAAAAGUAAUUUUUGAUUUUAAACACUAGCAAGAGCAGAGACCACAGCAAUAUCAAGAGCAAAAAAUAGUCUAAACAGAAAAUCAACAUCUAAUAGCCCAAGGUGAUUUCAUUUAGUUAUCAUCAUUAUUUUCUUUCUUUUUAACCUAUUUUACUCAAAAAUACACAUGUAUUAUAAACAUAUAAAAAAUACAAAAAAAGAGGUAAAAAAAAUAUACCUUUUUGAAACUCCGCGGUGGCCGGCCACGGCGGUUGGCGCGGCGGCGCUACGGCGGGCGACGGUCAGGCUGCUGGCCGGAGCCCUCAUCAGGACACGGGCCACCAGCAGAGAGGAGAGCUCUCUUCCUUUUUUUUUAAAACACCAAAGAAAAAUGAAAUUUUUGAAGGAUUUUAGGAUUUUAUAGCCUUCCGAAACGGCACCGUUUUGGUGCCCAGGCCCAGACCCAAAACAACGCCGUUUAGGCGCAACCCGAAUCGGACCCGACCCGCUAACCAGGGAUCCGCAUGUUUUCUCCGUUUUUGGGGUAUUUAUGCCCCUAAUCCCUCUGCCUUUUCCAUCUCCUUCAAUUGGAUCCCUUUCCUCUGCUUUUGUUUUUUUAUUUUAGCCCAUUAAUUCGGCUUUUGAUUCACUUUGGUCUGCAUUGAAACAAUGCGUUCUGAGGACUUGGAAUAAUUUCCUGAUCAGCCCCUCCAUUUAUUUCGCGUGUUCAAGUUAAUCCCCUUUUCCGUUGUUUAUUUUAAAUUCGCCUCAAAGUUCCAUUUUUAAUUCAAAUUUCAUCCUUUUUUUCCCUCAUUAUUCUAAUUUUAUUUUAAUAUUAUUUAUAAUAUCAUAUUUUAUUAUUGUUGUAUUUUUAUUAAUAGUUCAUUAUUAUCAUUUUAUUUAAUACUUAUAUAUAUAUGUUAUAAAGUAUUAUUAAUAAUUUCAAUAUUAUUAUUCUUAUUAACGCAUAUGUAUGUUAAUAUUAUAUUAUAUUUUUAUACACGUAUACAUAUUAACAUUAUACCAUGUAUAUAUUUUUUUAUAAAUAUCAUAUAUCUAUAUAUAUUUCUUAAAUAUAUCAUAUAUACUGUGUACAUACUUCUAAUACUAUCAUGCAUUCAUUUCAAUAUAUAUGUAUAUACCUAUGUAAUAUUAUUAAUAUUUAUUUUUAAACAUUAUUAUUAUUAUUAUUAGCAUAUAUAUAUACUAUGAAAGUAUUUCAAAUAUCGCAUUUUUAUUAUGUAUAUAUUUUAAAUACGGAUACAUUUCUUAUUAUGUGUAUAUAUCUCUUAAUAUUGUAUUUUAUGCAUAUACCUUAAUACUACGUCACUUCUAUAUUUUUAUUUCUCAUACUAUCUUAUAUUUAUAUUUCCAGUAUUAUACCAUAUCUAUUUAUUAGCAUAUCAUUAUCACUAUUAUCAUUAUAUAUUAGUGUACAUUUUUAUAUGUGUAUACAUACACAUUUAUAUAUAUAGUUUUUUAUAUAUAUAUACUAUUACUUUAAUUUAAUAUUUUUAUUAUACUUGCUUUUUUUGUAUUUCUAUAUUUUCAUUAUUAUCAUAUAGUAGCAUAUAUUUUCAUGUAUAUGUAUAUAAACGUUAUAUAGAAUUACUAAUAGCUUAACAUUAUUGUUUUUAGGUAUUUAUAUGUCACAUAUGUUUUCGUUAAAUAUAUAUACAUUAAUCCCCUACUACUUCAUACUCACGUUUACUAUCAUGUUUCAAUACAUGCGCUAUUAUCGUUUCGUACUAUUGUUAUUAUUAUUAUCGUUUUCGUUUUCGUUAUCGUUGUCAUUUUUAUUCUUUGCCAUGUUUAUCAUUUGUCUAUAUUUGCAUACUGUUAACCUUGAUAUUACUUCAUCUUUUACGGUUGCUCAUAUUAUUGUUUUGACACCGUCACACUUUAUUAUGUUCUUAUACAUGUCAAUGCUAUAUUUUGCCUUUACGUUUUACUAUAAAUCUCGUCACUUUUUGCUCAAUAUAUUAUAACAAUUCUUUCAUAAAAGUAAUAUACGUUAUUAGGUAAUUUGAGAUAAUCGUGCCCUAACUUAUUGGGUUUCGACUUUUCUCAUUAGGCCUAAAUAACAGAAUAUUCUUUUAAAUCACAAUACGAGUCUUUAAAAAUGCUUAUUUUUGGAGAUAUGAAGUGUGGUGCCCUAACUUACCGGGUAUAACAUUUUGACACCUCGAAAUAAGAGCUUUUGCAAAUAAAGGUAAUGUUCGGUUUUCAGAAAUUCGAGGAAACGUGCCCUAACUUACUGGGUUUCGAUUUCCCUCGUUCACUCUAACCAACCGAAUAUCUUUUUAAAAGAAGUUAAAAUACAUUAAUUUUAAAUAAAAGGCAAACUCAAUCUCAAAAUUCAAGAUAUCGUGUCCUAACUUACUGGACGUGGUAUUUUAUUAUUGCGAGACGAGAAGAUCUUUAACGUUUGAACUUUUUACAAAGAGAAAGAUCGUAUUUCAAAGUAUUUUAAGUUUUCAAAUUUUCGACAUUGAGACACUAAUUAAUCAACUAAGUACCAAUUUUGGGCGUAUCGAGGGUGCUAACCCUUCCUCGUGCGUAACCGACUCCCGAACUCAUUUUCUUUUUUUCGUAGACCAAAAAUUAUCGUUUUAGUAAAUCUUAAAUUUUAUUAAAAUGAUUAAUCAAAGGUGAUCCGAUCACACCUCAUCAAAAAAGAUUGGUGGCGACUCCAGUUUUUCGUUUUCAUUUUCAAAAUCCAAGUCGACUACCGUUUUUCAAAAGAAUGGUUACGACACCAACCAUUUUGAGUCUGUUUGAGAACGUUUGAGAGUCAUAUCUGCAAUGUCCUCGAUUUGUUCCUUGUAAGCACAAGAAUAUUAAAUCAUCUUGGUUCUGUUUCAGUACAAUCAUGUGAAGGUUAGAUCUGCUAUAUCUGAGAACAUCUGAGAGUCAAAUCUGCUAUUUCCUCGAUUUGUUCCUUGUAAACACAAGAAUACCAAAUCAUCUUGGAUCUGCUUCAGUAUAAACAUCUGAAGGUUAGAUCUGUUAUAUUUGAGAACGUCUGAGAGUCAAAUCUGCUAUGUCCUCGAUUUGUUCCUUGUAAACACAAGAAUACCAAAUCAUCUUGGAUCUGCUUCAGUAUAAACAUAUGAAGGUUAGAUCUGCUAUAUUUGAGAAUGUCUGAGAGUCAAAUCUGCUAUGUCCUCGAUUUGUUUCUUGUAAACACAAGAAUACCAAAUCAUCUUGGACCUGCUUCAGCAUAAAUGUCUGAAGUCUAGAUCUGCUAUUUUCAAUUUAUUUCCCAUAAGCACAGGGAUGCCAUGUUGAAAUCUUUGAUCUUCAUUGUCCCCUAGAGGACACGACCUGUAAGAUGAGUAUAUGCCUAUGCCUAAGUAUGCUAUGAUUGAAAUGAGUCGAAUGUCCUUAACAUGUUAUGAUGCAAAGUGCUGUGAAUAUGACCCCUAUCUCAGGUGUCAUCAUUCAUUCCUUCAUUUGUCUUUUUCAAAAUUUUAUUCUUACUCAGCUUGUAGGCCUUCCUCCAAUGCUAUGAUCUACUGAGGAUGUUUGUAAGAAUUGAAUCAUCCAUUUCUUUUUGGACUGGAAGAAAGAAAUCCCUCGAGUUCCUUCAUCCCUUACUUACGUGAAUUUCUCGAACAAUUGUCCUGUUUUAGUUUCUUGUAUUAUCUAGAAAUUCCAAAGUAAUGAGCAAAACUUCGUUUGUGAAAAUAUUUUAGUUCAUCUAUCAUUAUUUCAAUGCAACAUACUUUAAAAAUAUCGGAAGAUGAGUAAAUCUUUGAGAAUAAUUGGAUUCGAAUUGUUAACAGUACAAAGGAAAUAAGUAUGAUAGCAUAUCUUUAAGAAGAAAUAAAAUCUAAAGAUAGCAAACAGGAUAAAAAUUAAAUGCUCUAAAUAUCGCCGCUUGAGCGUCUAUACAUUAGUUCCCCGAAGCCUUUCUUGAGUUCGACAUGUGUUUAAAAGAUCCAAAGUACUUUGUUGAUGCCCCAAUGUACACUGUGCCUCACUCUCUGUCAAGUCAAAUAUAGCAAGGUUGCUGUGUGCCCUUCAAAAUUUGAGCUGCCUUUUCGGGUUUUCAACUCAAAAUCCCUUUGGUCACAAGGUGCCCUUUGUGGGUUUUCACCUUGGCCUCUCUAUUUUUUUUCAAAAUUCAAGGCGCCCUUUGCGGGUUUUCACCUUGGAUUCGUUUCUCUUUUAGACAAAGUAAUUUUUGACUGAGUCUGAGUUCACCGGAUUGGGUAGUCUCUUUCCAUCCAUUUCUGUCAAAAUCAAUGCACCACCAGAAAAAGCCUUCUUCACGACGUAUGGCCCCUCCCAAUUUGGCAUCCAUUUUCCUCUAAAGUCCUUCUGAAUGGGAAGGAUUUUCUUUAGCACAAGGUCCCCCUCAUGGAAUUCCCUUGGACGAACCUUUUUAUCAUAAGCUUGCAUCAUACGCUUUUGGUACAUCUGACUAUGUCGGAUAGCCUUCAGCCUUUUAUCCUCAGUCAAGUUUAGCUGGUCAUAUUGAGACUGAACCCAUUCAGCGUCAUCUAACCUUAUCUCUGUUAAAAUAGAAAAGGUAUUUCCACUUCAAUAGGUAAAACUGCUUCCAUCCCGUAAACUAACGAGAACGGAGUUGCCCCAGUAGAAGUUCUAACAGAUGUUCGAUAGGCCAAGAGUGCAAACGGUAGCUUUUCAUGCCAAUCCCUAUAAGUCUCAGUCAUCUUUCCCACUAUUUUCUUAAUGUUCUUAUUGGCAGCCUCCACUGCCCCAUUCAUCUUUGGACGAUAGGGUGAAGAGUUGUGAUGCUUGAUUUUGAACUGGUCGCAAACCUCUGCUAUCGUUUUGUUGUUCAAAUUCAAUGCAUUGUCAGAUAUGAUCCUCUCAGGCAUUCCAUACCAACAAAUGAUUUCCUUCUUCAAAAAUCAACUUACAGCUGACUUAGUAACAUUUGCGUAAGAAGCAGCCUCUACCCAUUUUGUAAAGUAGUCAAUUACUACGAAAAUAAACCGACGUCCGUUCGAAGCUUUCAGCGAUAUUGGUCCGAUGACAUCCAUGCCCCACAUGGAAAAUGGCCAUGGAGACAUCAUGACAUGUAAAGGUGAGGGUGGUACAUGAAUUUUGUCCCCAUAAAUCUGACACUUAUGGCAUUUUUUGGCAUAGUUGAUACAGUCUCCUUCCAUAGUGGCCCAGUAAUAGCCAAACCUCAUGAUUUGUCUUGCCAUCGUGAACCCAUUUGCAUGCAUACCACAUACACCUUCAUGAACCUCUUCUAGAAUUAGCUUGGCUUCCACAGCAUCGACACAUCUCAAAAGUACUUGGUCUUUCCUUCUAUUGUACAGAACAUCCCCGUCUAAAACAUAGUCACAAGCUAACCUUCUCAGGGUUCGUUUGUCAUUUUCGGAUGCAUGUGCUGGAUAUUUACGAUCUCUUACAUAUCGCAAUAUAUCCUGAUACCAAGGAUUGUCAUCCUUUUCUUCCUCUUCAAGGUUACAACAGCUAGCUGGAAAUUCAUAGACACUCAUUUGAAUUGGUCUCAUCUCUUCCUCUUUGCUUGCCUUAAUUAUUGAAGCUAAGGUUGCUAAAGGAUCUGCCAUCUGAUUCUCAUCUCGUGGGAGAUAGUUGAAGGUGAUGUCAUCGAACUCUCUUAGUAACCCUAAAACUACCAUUCGAUAAUUGAUCAAUUUAGGGUCUUUUGUCUCCCAUUCACCUCUUAGCUGAUAGAUUACCAACGCAGAAUCUCCAUAUACUUCUAGGGUUUUUAUGCCUCUUUCUAUGGAUGUUUGGAGCCCCAUGAUGCAUGCUUCGUAUUCAGCCAUAUUAUUUGUACAGUCAAAAUCCAACUUGCACGUGAACGGGUAAUAGUCGCCAUUCGGGGAUACCAAGACUGCCCCAAUUCCAUUUUCGACUGCAUUAGAAGCCCCAUCAAAAUUUAGCUUCCAUAAAGAAUCUUCAGUUGCUGCUAUACACAUUAGCUCUUCAUUUGGAAAAUCAAAAUUCAAUGUCUCGUAAUCCUCCAAAGCUCUACUGGCCAAGAAGUCUGCCACUGCACUUCCUUUGAUAGCCUUCUGACUUACAUAGACUUACAUAGGAAUCAAGCAAAGACUCAUAGAAAGACCCAAUUUGACCGGCCUUAUCAAAUAAUGGAAUUCAAUUUUAUGACAGCUAUGUUGAUAUCUUUGAUCUGCUCUCCGCCGAUCGUAGAGAUGUCGAAUCUGUUUCUUCGAUUUGUGGGGAUGCCAAAUCAACUUGAGUCUGUUUUGAGAACAUCUGAGAGUCAAAUCUGCUAUGUCCUUGAUUUGUUCUUUCUAAGCACAAAGAUGCCAACUGUACAAGCCCAAUUUUGGGCCCAAAACCCACUAAACCCAAACCAACUUAAACCUACCCAAAACCCAAAUAACCUAGCCCAAUACAUUAAAGAAAAUAAAUGAAAACCUAAAACCCUAGCCGUCAGCACAUGCCCCCCACCCCAUCCACCACCGACGCCUGCAAGUGGCCUCUGCUCCACCGUCUAUUUUCCUACAAAGAGAGACAAUGUAAUAUAAAAAAAGGAUUUGUAAUGGCUAUUUAAGGCCGAAUCAAAGAACGAUGUAAGGAGGAGGACAUUUUGGUGAAAAAUAAAAAGCAAUUUUUUAUUUUAAACACUAGCAAGAGCAGAGACCACGGCAAUAUCAAGAGCAAAAAAUAGUCAAAACAGAGAAUCAACAUCUAAUAGCCCAAGGUGAUUUCAUUUAGUUAUCAUCAUUAUUUUCUUUCUUUUUAACCUAUUUUACUCAAAAAUACACAUGUAUUAUAAACAUAUAAAAAAUACAAAAAAAGAGGUAAAAAAAAUAUACCUUUUUGAAACUCCGCGGUGGCCGGCCACGGCGGUCGGCGCGGCGGUGCUACGGCGGGCGACGGUCAGGCUGCUGGCCGGAGCCCUCAUCAGUACACGGGCCACCAGCAGAGAGGAGAGCUCUCUUCCUUUUUUUUAAAACACCAAAGAAAAAUGAAAUUUUUGAAGGAUUUUAGGCUUUUAUAGCCUUCCGAAACGGCACCGUUUUGGUGCCCAGGCCCAGACCCAAAACGACGCCGUUUAGGCGCAACCCGAAUCGGACCCGACCCGCUAACCAGGGAUCCGCAUGUUUUCUCCGUUUUUGGGGUAUUUAUGCCCCUAAUCCCUCUGCCUUUUCCAUCUCCUUCAAUUGGAUCCCUUUCCUCUGCUUUUGUUUUUUUAUUUUAGCCCAUGAAUUCGGCUUUUGAUUCACUUUGGUCCACAUCGAAACAAUGCGUUCUGAGGACUUGGAAUAAUUUCCUGAUCAGCCCCUCCAUUUAUUUCGCGUGUUCAAGUUAAUCCCCUUUUCCGUUGUUUAUUUUCAAUUCGCCUCAAAGUUCCAUUUUUAAUUCAAAUUUCAUCCUUUUUUUCCCUCAUUAUUCUAAUUUUAUUUUAAUAUUAUUUAUAAUAUCAUAUUUUAUUAUUGUUGUAUUUUUAUUAAUAGUUCAUUAUUAUCAUUUUAUUUAAUACUUAUAUAUAUGUUAUAAAGUAUUAUUAAUAAUUUCAAUAUUAUUAUUCUUAUUAACGCAUAUGUAUGUUAAUAUUAUAUUAUAUUUUUAUACACGUAUACAUAUUAACAUUAUACCAUGUAUAUAUUUUUUUAUAAAUAUCAUAUAUCUAUAUAUAUAUUUCUUAAAUAUAUCAUAUAUACUGUGUACAUACUUCUAAUACUAUCAUGCAUUCAUUUCAAUAUAUGUGUAUAUACCUAUGUAAUAUUAUUAAUAUUUGUUUUUAAACAUUAUUAUUAUUAUUUUUAGCAUAUAUAUAUACUAUGAAAGUAUUUCAAAUAUCGCAUUUUUAUUAUGUAUAUAUUUUAAAUACGGAUACAUUUCUUAUUACGUGUAUAUAUCUCUUAAUAUUGUAUUUUAUGCAUAUACCUUAAUAGUACGUCACUUCUAUAUUUUUAUUUCUCAUACUAUGUUAUAUUUAUAUUUCCAGUAUUAUACCAUAUCUAUUUAUUAGCAUAUCGUUAUCACUAUUAUCAUUAUAUAUUAGUGUACAUUUUUAUAUGUGUAUACAUACACAUUUAUAUAUAUAGUUUUUUUUAUAUAUAUACUAUUACUUUAAUUUAAUAUUUUUAUUAUACUUGCUUUUUUUGUAUUUCUAUAUUUUCAUUAUUAUCAUAUAGUAGCAUAUAUUUUCAUGUAUAUGUAUAUAUACGUUAUAUAGCAUUACUAAUAGCUUAACAUUAUUGUUUUUAGGUAUUUAUAUGUCACAUAUGUUUUCGUUAAAUAUAUAUACAUUAAUCCCCUACUACUUCAUACUCACGUUUACUAUCAUGUUUCAAUACAUGCGCUAUUAUCGUUUCGUACUAUUGUUAUUAUUAUCGUUUUCGUUUUCGUUAUCGUUGUCAUUUUUAUUCUUUGCCAUGUUUAUCAUUUGUCUAUAUUUGCAUACUGUUAACCUUGAUAUUACUUCAUCUUUUACGGUUGCUCAUAUUAUUGUUUUGACACCGUCACACCAUUAUUAUGUUCUUAUACAUGUCAAUGCUAUAUUUUGCCUUUACGUUUUACUAUAAAUCGCGUCACUUUUUGCUCAAUAUAUUAUAACAAUUCUUUCAUAAGAGUAAUAUCCGUUAUUAGGUAAUUCGAGAUAAUCGUGCCCUAACUUACUAGGUUUCGACUUUUCUCAUUUGGCCUAAAUAACAGAAUAUUCUUUUAAAUCACAAUACGAGUCUUUAAAAAUGCUUAUUUUUGGAGAUAUGAAGUGUGGUGCCCUAACUUACAGGGUAUAACAUUUUGACACCUCGAAAUAAGAGCUUUUACAAAUAAAGGUAAUGUUCGGUUUUCAGAAAUUCGAGGAAACGUGCCCUAACUUACUGGGUUUCGAUUUCCCUCGUUCACUCUAACCAACCGAAUAUCUUUUUAAAAGAAGUUAAAAUACAUUAAUUUUAAAUAAAAGGCAAACUCAAUCUCAAAAUUCAAGAUAUCGUGUCCUAACUUACUGGACGUGGUAUUUUAUUAUUGCGAGAGGAGAAGAUCUUUAACGUUUGAACUUUUUACAAAGAGAAAGAUCGUAUUUCAAAGUAUUUUAUGUUUUCAAAUUUUCGACAUUGAGACACUAAUUAAACAACUAGGUACCAAUUUUGGGCGUGUCGAGGGUGCUAACCCUUCCUCGUGCGUAACCGACUCCCGAACUCAUUUUCUUUUUUUCGUAGACCAAAAAUUAUCGUUUUAGUAAAUCUUAAAUUUUAUUAAAAUGAUUAAUCAAAGGUGAUCCGAUCACACCUCAUCAAAAAAGAUUGGUGGCGACUCCAGUUUUUCAUUUUCAUUUUCAAAAUCCAAGUCGACUACCGUUUUUCAAAAGAAUGGUUACGACAGCUUGGCGACUCCACUGGGGAACAAUAAGAGUGUUAAGCCACAAGUUGAUUAACUUUUGUCUUUUUAUCAAAAAUUGAAAAUUUGGUUUUGAAAUACGAUCCUUUCAUUGCAUUUCAUCAGCUAUUUUAUUGGUUUAUAUAAUACCUGCUACGUUGGUCCGAUUCUUUAAAUAGUGUUGCACAUUGCAUUGCAUGACCGCUGUGGUCACACCCUCUUAAGUGGGAGCGCGAAACUAUUCCUUCGUGAGGUUUUCACCUCCGUGCAGGAUAAUGGAUUGCUUCCGGGAUACAUCCGUACCUAUGUCUUCAUGAGACUUUCAUCUCCGGCCAGCCACAGGGAAAUGUAUUCCCCUGAACUGAACUCGGUCUGUAUGAGCCUAUAAUGGGUGAAGAUCGAGGAAUCUGCUGGUUCAGGUACCCUUAUUCUAGAAUCAAACCCCAUAUAGCGAGCCUCAAGAACCCACCCUAGGUAGAGCCACUCCGAAACCCUAGUGGUUACCUGCGUAUAAAUUACUGACUUGCUUUAUUUUACUUUUAUUGUAUUUCCAUGGCAUUUUCAUCAUAAAAGGUGUUGAUUCGCAUUCGGUUCCUAAAUAGAUAGCUUAUCAUGGAAAAGGGGUUUUUUGAUAAAGUAGAAGACAACGCGGCUGUCCGGAUAUAGGCUGAGACAACGCAACAAGAGAAAGGCGACAGUCUUACCGAGGGGUACGUGUCAGAGUUAUGGAAUUUUACUCGGAUCAGCGUAACUCAGAAUAAUCUCCAAGAGAUGAAAGAAAUUUGGGGUCAGUGGGAUGAUGAGGUCAAACAGCUAUUCUGUUGUCAUUACAGUGAUUUACCUUAUCUGCUCAACGUCAAGGUAGACGAGCACCUGUUUCGAGCCCUUGCCCAAUAUUGGAAUUCUGCUUACAGUUGCUUCACUUUCGGGAAGGUAGAUUUGGUACCUACUAUAGAAGAAUACAUGACCUUGCUCCAUUGCCCAAAGAUUCAAGUAGACAGAAUUUAUACCAGACCUGCUAACGUCCCAGCAUUUUCAAAAAAAUUAAUGAACAUCAUAGGGAUGAGCGAACAAUGGGUGACAACUCGGAUCAAACAAAAAGGAGAUGGUAAAUGCAUUCCUUGGAAGAACCUGAGGGAUCUAAUCUUAGCGCACCCCGACGUGAAUAAAAGGGUAGAUGUCUUCGCCUUGAGCAUUUAUGGACUGGUCAUCUUCCCCAAAGCUUUGAGGCAUAUAGACGAGGCUGUUACCUACCUUUUUGACAGGUUUGGUAAAGGAACCACCCCUAUACCAGCAAUCUUGGCUGAAACUUUCAGAUCAUUAAAUGCUUGUAGAAGAGCGGGCGAAGGGAGAUUUAUUAGAUGUGCACAGCUCUUGCUAUCCUGGUUCCACAGCCAUUUUUCGAAAGUGGAAAAGAUCUCGUAUCGCAUCUUCUCUAAAAAUUACUCUCCGCUGAAAGAGUUAGUAGCUACACCGAGGCGAGAUGAUGUGACAGAAGAAAAUUGGAUGACGGUUCUCCAAAAUCUGUAAGAAGAAGAUAUUGAAUGGAGAGCCCCGUGGAUGGUUCCUGAUGAAAUAUUAUACCGAUGCAGAGAUUUCGAUUGGGUUCCCUUGUUAGGAGUAUGGGGGGCCGUCGGGUAUGCUCCUCUGCUUACAUUACGACAAUACAGAUCCAGACAGUUUACACCACCAACAUACGGGUUAGCCCAGUGCGAGUUCGUGUUCACAGGGAAUAAUUACAAAAAGAAAGUUCGCGAGAUAUCAAGUGCCUGGAACCAGACUCGUAAAAUGAAGAAGUUUGCUGCCAAUCCCAUGACUACUCCUGAGUACGACCGAUGGUGGAAUCAGAGGAUUAACGACAACAUCCCUACAUCAGAUCAAGGGAAUCCUCAGUCGAUAGAAGAGCACUUGAAAGUAAUCCCAUCUGAGCUGGAAAUCAUCAGGCAAGAUUUCGAGAGAAAGAGUCUAGAGCUAGAAAAAAGGAUCGAGCAUUUGGAAGAAGAAAAGAUGCAGUUAGGGUUAGACGUCGAUGCCCAGAAACUAGAAGCUGAAAGACUCAGAAAAGGGAAAAACAAGGCUGAAGAGGACUUAGACAGUUUGAAAACGGACUAUAAGAAGCUGCGCAAAUCAAUGAGAACCGCUGGGUUAGGAAAAACAUCUGAAAAAUGGCGACAUGAAGUUAAAGAAGAACAAAGCAAAGCCAACUAGUGGGAGGAAAAAUUUCGCGAUGCUCAAGCUCGAGAAAGUGCUCUGAAAAGAAGUUUGGUAGAAAGUCAGAAUGAGAAAGAAGGGCUAAAGAUUCGGGUAUCAGAGUUAGAGAGGUCAUUGUAUCAGUAUCGCUCGCGUAACUCUGCAAUCGAGUUGAAAGCUAGUCAGAACAGAAUCGAAGAAUUAAGAAAGAAUAUAGAAGAACUCAAAACAGCGCUACAAAAUCGUGAACUUUAGAUAGAACUCCUCGAGGUAAAUAACGAGCGAUGGAAGGAGAAACUUCAUCAAUCUCAAGACCAAGUCAGGAGCAGGGACUACAUCAUGGGCAAAGCUUUGAUUCAAGUACGAGAAUUGGCUGACCACUUGCAAACAUUAGCAGUACAAGCCGAUGUGCUGAGUUUAAAAUACGAGUCAGAAUCGGACUGAGGCCAAAAGCUAGCUCGGCUCUUUAGACAGGUCAAGGCCUUAAGCAUCAGGGCCAAGCCUUAUAUGUAAUCUAUUUUAUGUAAAGAAACUUGUUUUCUAGAAAAGUUACUCUAAUGAAAUCGAAUUGGAAUCAACACUUUUUUGCAUUCAUUACAUUCAUGCAUCGGCAUUGCAUUGCACGCACUAAAACUCACAGAAAACCUUAAAAAUCGUGACAGUUACCCUGGAACAUCGUUACGGUACAAGAGGAAAAACAAGAGCAAUGGAUCAAAGGUUAGAGAGAUUGGAACAAAUGCAAAAAGAGAUGCAGGGUCAACUACAAACACGUAUGCAAGAACAGCUGGCCAAAAUCCAGCAAGAUGUAAGGGACCAAAUGCUGGAGUCCCAAAGGAGUAUGAUGGAUCAAUUAACGCGUCUAUUGGCUGGUGGAUUAGAAAAAGGGAAAAGCCCCAUGAUCAAUGCUGGAGAUGACAACGAAGAUCCCGUCUACCCUCUGGGGUUUGUCCCAGCGGACAUUCAAACAUAACCUGAUGUGUACCCAAGAAGGCCAUCAGUCACAAUCAGGCCUCAACCAUUUCAAGCCGGUGUCUCGGCACAGAUGAAUUAUCAGACUGGUUUGGGCUCUAAUCCGAGGGACAAUCUAACCAACCCUGUGGUCCUCAAUCUCGAUGAAGUGAUAGAAGCAGAAAAGACAAGGGUAGAACUCCCGAGAGAGCUUGAAGAAAGAUGUAGAUGGUUGGAAGAAAAAUUUAAAGAAAUGGAAAACACCGACUAUCGUGGUGGAAUCGACGCUAAGGAAUUAAGUUUGGUUCCAGACCUGGUACUCCCUCCCAAGUUCAAAACUCCGAAAUUUGAGAAAUACAACUGGACUAGCUGUCCCGAAGCUCACAUCACUAUGUUCUGUAGACGAAUGGCAGGCUAUGUCAAUAAUGACCAACUAUUGAUCCACUGCUUCCAGGAAGUCUGGUUGGGGCCGCUUCUAGGUGGUACAACCAACUAAGUCGUAACCAGAUCAGUUCAUGGAGGGAUUUAGCACAGGCUUUCAUGAAGCAGUACAGUCACGUGACAGACAUGGCUCCUGAUAGAGUCACAUUACAGAACAUGGAGAAGAAACAAAAUGAGAGUUUCAGGCAAUACGCCCAAAGAUGGAGAGAGGUAGCAAUGCAAGUUCAACCACCUCUUUUGGAGAAAGAAACGACCAUGCUUUUUAUCAAUACACUGAAGGCUCCGUUCAUUAACCACAUGCUAGGGAGCGCUACUAAAAGCUUCUCAGACAUAGUAAUGUCAGAAGAAAUGAUAGAAAAUGCGAUAAGAUGUGGAAGGAUUGAAGCAGGGGAAAGUGCUAAGAGAUCAACCCCGAGAAGGAAAGAGAAUGAUGUAAACAACACGAGUAUGUAUAAUAAGCCAGUCACUAUGAGCCAACCAAAGGUGGUGACUACCAGCCAUCAGGGCUUCGCUAGACGAGACUUUAACCCAAGGCCUAACACGGAAAGAGUCCAGUUUACUCCUAUCCCGAUGUCCUACAAGGAAUUGUACCAGAGCUUAUUCGAUGCCCAUGUAGUGUCACCCUUCUAUCUAAAGCCAAUUCAACCCCUAUUCCCCAAAUGGUAUGAUGCAAACGCCCAAUGCGAAUACCAUGCAGGAGCCACAGGGCACUCAAUAGAAAAUUGCACCACUUUCAAAAAGCUGGUUGAAAGACUCAUCAACAUGGGCAUCGUGAAAUUUGAUGAUACACCUAGUGCAGAAGACUCGUUACCUAAUCAUGGGGAUAAAGGUAUAAAUGCCAUAAUCGAGAGUUCAGGGAAGGAAAUUAAGAUGAAUGUUACAGAAGUGAAUACUCCACUAAAAGAAGUAUGGAAGAAAAUGGUGGAAAAGGGGUUGGUAACACAGAAUUCAGGGGACAGAUACCAAGGAGCAAAAAGUUAUUGCGAGUUCCAUAAUCAAGAGGACCAUGAGAUUCAGAAAUGUAGCGAAUUCAGGGCUCUAGUACAAGGGUUAAUGGAUAAUAAGGAGCUGGAAUUCUUCGAGUAUGUUAGGAACCCAGAAGGAACAGAUGUGUGUGCCUCCGAAGAGGGGUCGAUGAACGAUGUUCACAAAUUCAACCACCCAGUGGUUAUCAUAUCACGUCCGAGAAUGAAUGAAGCUGGGGCACGAGUUGCGCCAAAGGUCGUGAUCCAAAAGCCCGUUACUUUUCCUUAUAAAGAUAGCAAAAGGGUACCGUGGAACUAUAGCUGCAAUGUGACAUUCCCGGGAGAGGAGACCCCGAUUAAUGCAUCAGAGAAAGUUCAAGACGAAGGUUUUUAUACGCGCAGCGGAAGGCGUUAUACCCCAAAUACAAAAGCCGAGCAGGUUAAAGAAAAAUCAUUAGCAAUUGAGCAAAAGAAAGAGAAGCUGGCGGGGCCUGAACCAACUGUUAAUGAAUCAGUGACUGAAAAAGAAGCCAAGGAAUUCUUAAAAUUUCUAAAGCACAGUGAAUAUAGUGUCGUAGAAUAGUUGCACAAACAGCCAGCUCGUAUAUCGGUACUGGCCUUACUCUUAAGCUCCGAAACCCAUCGCAGCGCGUUGAUGAAGGUGCUGAAUGAAACUUAUGUUGCUAAUGAUAUCUCUGUAAACAAACUGGACCGCUUAGUCAACAAUAUAAGUGCCGAAAAGUUCAUAUUCUUCAAUGACGAUGAGGUACCACCAGAGGGCCGAGGAUCAACUAAAGCUUUGCAUAUCACAGCUUGCUGUAAAGGGUACACGUUACCGGAGGUAUUGAUUGACAAUGGGUCUGCACUGAAUGUCUUACCCCUAUCUACGCUGAGUAGGUUGCCAGUAGAUAGUUCCUAUAUGAAGACAUGCCAAAGUGUAGUGAGAGCAUUUGAUGGCACGGAAAGGAGGGUAAUGGGGAGAAUUGAAGUACCCCUCUUAAUCGGGCCGAGCACAUACGAGGUAGAUUUCUUAGUCAUGGACAUUAAGCCUUCGUAUAAUUGCCUAUUGGGGAGGCCAUGGAUACACUCAGCGGGGGCAGUCCCUUCGUCGCUGCACCAAAAGUUGAAAUUAGUGACUGAAGGUCGGUUAGUAACGAUCAAUGCUGAAGAAGACAUCAUCGCGGCAAUAACCAGUGAUGCCCCAUAUCUGGAGACAAAUGAUGAAGCGAUCGAGUGCUCUUUUCGAUCUUUAGAGUUUGUGAACGCGACAUUCAUCAUCGAAGGAAAUAAGAUUCCAAUGCCCAGAUUAUCUGAGACUACAAGAAUGGGACUACGGCUAACUAUUGGAAAAGGGGCUCUACCCGGAAGAGGACUCGGGAGAUACCUCCAAGGAAGGAUUAAUGUACCAAUGAUGAAGGACAAACAAGACCGUUUUGGGUUAGGGUUUAAGCCGGACAUGAAACAAAGAAAGAAGGAACUGGAGAAGAGGCAAGAAAGAAGGAGAGCGCGAUUGAAUGGGGGAGAAAUCGAAUGGGAACCAAUGAUCUUCCCCCAUAUAUCGAAGACUUUUGUGUCUGGAGGGGUCAUUCACUCCGAGCGGAAGACGUCGGUAAAAGAAAUCUUGGAAGGAAUGAUGGAGAGUUUGGACAUUAACGCUACAUAUGAAGAAGGGACGGGGGUAGAGAAUUUGUCAGGCAUUCGCCCCUAUGAGCCAGGAAGUGUUCUGAAUAAUUGGACUGUGGAAGAAAUUCCUGUGGUCUUUAGAACUAACUCAGAGUAAUGUCCAAAACACACUUAUUGCUCUAGGCCUAGGAGUAACAGGUGUCAUUUUGUGAAAUAGGCUUAUGUUCAAAAUUGUUAUUUCUAUGAAAUGCAUCUUUUUGACUUAUUUCGUGCAAAUAUUCUUUUAUUCUUUCAUUCAUGAUCAUACCAGACAUAUCAUUGUUCUUAGAUUCUCUUGUUCUUUGCAUCUUCCUUCACACCUACAACAGGUCUCCAGAUAUCAAUGAUGCGAAUGACGUCGCUACUAAUUCAGAGUCUCCUUUUGAGCGAGAUAUGUGUCUAGAGGGAUCCCAGGACUUUGAGGAUGACAGAGAUUGUAACUUAUCCCUUGAUUUGUUAAGGAUGGUGGAGCACGAGGAGAAACAGAUCCUACCCCACAAAGAGACCGUAGAAGUCGUGAACUUGGGAGAUGAACUGGAAAAGAAAGAAGUAAAUAUCGGAACUUACAUCACCACAGAGACAAAACGGGACCUUAUUGAGUUACUCCAAGAGUUCAAGGAUGUCUUUGCAUGGUCAUACCAGGAUAUGCCUGGGCUAAGUACUGACAUUGUGGUACACAGGCUCCCCAUCAAAGAAGAAUGCAAGCCAGUUCAGCAAAAGCUUCAAAGGAUGCGGCUCGAUGUUCUGUUGAAGAUAAAAGAGGAAGUCAAGAGGCAAUUUGAUGCUGGUUUCUUACAAGUAGUUAAAUACUCGGAAUGGGUAGCCAACAUCGUCCCUGUCCCUAAAAAAGAUGGAAAGGUACGGAUGUGUGUAGACUACAGAGACUUAAACAAGGCCAGCCCAAAAGAUAAUUUCCCGUUGCCUCAUAUCGACACCUUAGUGGACAACACGGCAGGUUACUCACUCUUCUCCUUCAUGGAUGGUUUCUCGGGGUACAAUCAGAUCAAGAUGCAUUCUGAAGACAUGAAUAAAACCACAUUUGUGACCAUGUGGGGGACCUUUUGCUAUAAAGUAAUGCCAUUCGGAUUGAAAAAUGCAAGAGCAACAUAUCAGAGAGCCAUGGUAACCCUAUUUCAUGAUAUGAUGCAUAAAGAAAUUGAAGUCUACGUCGAUGACAUGAUUGCCAAAUCUCGGACUGAAGAAGACCAUGUGCAAGUCUUGAGGAAAUUAUUUUUAAGGUUGAGAAAAUUCCAGUUGAAACUCAAUCCCGCAAAAUGUACCUUCGGAGCCAGGUCAGGUAAACUGCUAGGAUUCGUGGUCAAUGGAAAAGGGAUUGAGAUUGACCCAGAUAAAGUCAAAGCCAUACAAGAGUUACCUCCACCACGUACUCAGAAGGAAGUUCGAGGAUUCCUAGGAAGACUAAAUUACAUCGCUCGGUUUAUUUCACAACUAACCGAGAAAUGUGACCCCAUAUUCCGUCUCCUUAAGAAACACAACCCUGGUGGUUGGGACGAAGAAUGCCAGAAGACUUUCGACAAAGUUAAGCAAUAUUUUUCUAAUGCCCCAGUGUUGACACCACCUAAUCCAGAUAAGCCAUUGAUACUGUAUUUGACAGUAUUUGAAAAUUCUAUGGGAUGCGUGCUUGGCCAACACGAUGAAUUGGGAAGGAAAGAAAGAGCGAUAUAUUACCUCAGUAAAAAGUUUACUGAGUGUAAGACGAGAUACUCGUUCAUUGAAAAGUUGUGCUGUGCCUUGAUCUGGACAACCCGAAGACUGAGACAAUACAUGUUGUAUCACACAACUUGGCUAAUCUCUAAAAUGGACCCUCUGAAAUACUUGAUGGAGUCGACUGCCUUGAACAGGAGAAUGGCCCGAUGGCAAAUUCUACUUUUUGAAUUCGAUGUAGUCUAUGUGAACCAGAGGGCCGUAAAAGGAAGUGCGAUAGCAGAUUUCCUAGCCAGCAGAGCCCUAGAGGACUACGAGCCUCUGAACUUUGAUUUCCCAAAUGAAGAUCUAAUGUGCAUAGCAACCACUGAAGAACACCCUUAAAAAGGUUACCCUUGGAAGCUAAACUUUGACGGAGCAUCAAAUGCUGUGGGUAACGGAAUCGGGGCAGUCCUGGUAUCCCCGAACGGAGAUCAUUAUCCAUUCAUUAGUAAAUUGGAUUUUGACUGCACGAAUAAUAUGGCAGAAUACGAAGCAUGCAUCAUGGGAAUACGUGCGGCCAUAGAACGUAAAAUCAAGGUGUUAGAGGUAUAUGGCGAUUCUGCCCUAGUGAUUUAUCAACUCAAAGGUGAAUGGGAGACAAGAGACCCCAAAUUGAUCGAUUACCAGAAGAUGAUCCUUGAGUUAAUUAAAGAGUUUGAUGAUAUUGUCUUCUACUACCUCCCACGAGAAGAAAAUCAGAUGGCUGACUCCCUAGCAACUUUGGCUUCUAUGAUCAAAGUGAACCAACUGGAAGAUGUGAAACUGAUCCAAAUGAGCAUUUACAAGGCCCCGGCUCAUUGUUACAACCUUGAAGAAGAAGAGGAAAAUGAUGAUCACCCUUGGUACCACGAUAUCCUACGAUAUGUGAAGAAUUGUGAGUACCCCGGCCGAGCUACUAAGAACGACAAGAGAACUUUAAGAAGACUGGCCAGUGACUAUGUCUUAGAUGGGAGAUCCUUACAAAAGAAGGAAGGAUCAGGUACUAUUAAGAUGUGUAGAAGCCAUUGAGGCUAAGAAAAUCUUGGAAGAAGUCCAUGAGGGCAUCUGCGGGACACACGCUAAUGGUUUUACAAUGGCCAGGCAAAUUAUGAGGUUCGGUUAUUAUUGGUCCACCAUGGAAGGAGACUAUAUUAACUAUGCCAAAAGAUGUCAUAAGUGCCAGAUCUAUAGAGACAAGAUUAAUAUACCUCCCUCACCUCUGCAUGUCAUGACUUCGCCAUGGUCUUUCUCGAUGUGGGGCAUGGAUGUGAUUGGGCCAAUUUCGCCAAAAGCUUCAAGUGGGCAUCGUUUCAUCUUUGUGGUCAUCGAUUAUUUCACCAAAUGGGUGGAGGCCGCUUCAUAUGCCAAUGUCACUAAAUCAGCAGUUAGCAAGUUCCUAAAAAAGGAAAUCAUCUAUCGAUACGGAAUGCCGGAAAGGAUCAUAUCUGACAACGCAUUGAAUUUAAACAACAGCACGAUAGCGGAUGUCUGCAGUCAGUUCAAGAUCAGACACCACAACUCGUCACCGUAUCGCCCGAAGAUGAACGGUGCAGUCGAAGCAGCCAAUAAGAACAUCAAGAAGAUUGUAGGAAAGAUGACAGAAACUUAUAAAGAUUGGCAUGAGAAGCUACCAUUCGCCCUCUAUGCUUAUCGAACGUCCAUCAGAACUUCUACUGGGGCAACGCCUUUCUCAUUAGUCUAUGGAAUGGAGGCAGUUUUACCUAUCGAGGUCGAGAUCCCUUCCCUUAGAGUCUUGUCAGAGGUAAAGUUGGAUGAAGCAGAAUGGAUCCAGUCCCGAUACGAUCAGUUGAAUUUGAUUGAAGAAAAGAGGCUACGGGCUAUUUUCCAUGGUCAGAUGUACCAAAAGCGAAUAAUGGGAGCUUACAACAAAAAGGUUCGUCCCACAGAGUUCCAUGAGGGAGACCUAGUACUGAAAAAGAUCCUGCCCAUACAAAAAGACUUCAGAGGAAAAUGGACGCCGAAUUGGGAAGGGCCUUAUGUGGUGAAGAAAGCCUUUUCUGGCGGAGCAUUGAUAUUGGCUGAAAUGGAUGGCAAGGCCUUAUCCAAUCCCAUGAAUUCGGAUUCGGUUAAGAAAUACUUCGCCUAAAAAACAAAGAAGGAGAGGCCAGGGUGAAAAUUCGCAAAGAGCAUCUUGAGACCAAAGGGAUUUUGAAUUGAAAACCCGUAAAGGGCAAUUCAAAUUUUGAUCAAAGGUGGGGCAUGCGAUGGUCUUAUGGUACCUAAAUUAACAAGGAGGAGAGAUGUUACAUCUUGGGGCAUCUGCAAGAGUACCCUAGAUCCCCUAAACACAUACUGGGAAAAAAAAAGAGUCCUCAAGAAGUCAGUACAGAGAAACUCACGCUGCGAUAUCUGGGGCACCUAUUCCCUUUUAUUCAUUUUGUAUUCCAGCAAUGUUUGUUGACUGUGAUUAAUAUAUUCCCUUGAAAUGUUGUUUCUGAUAAAUUUCAGUUUUGUCGUUGUUAUAAUCUUUUUCAAGCAUUUUGCAUUGAAAUGAUGAUUAAUGGACUAAAACCAUUUUUUGCAAAAAGAGUUCUGCACAUUACUCCGAAAGUUUCUAAAUAGUACAGGAACCUGAAACAGGACUAUUUUUUAGAACUAACCAAACUCAAAGAUUGGAAGCAUCUGAGAAGAAAAAGUUUAAAUUGGGACUACCUCUUCGGGUUUUCCGUUCAAAAUUUGAACUGAACAAGAAGACAGGGUACCAUUUCAGUGAAGGAACCUUGAUGAACAAAGAGCAAUGGCAACCUAAACAGGGAUUCAUGCUCACAACAUGCUGCACUCAUACAUUCAUAGAUCAUUCAUAAGUGUAUCUAAUUAGGAACAUUUGAUUCAUUUUGAUCAUAACAUCCUAAUUCUUUGACAUAAGCAUAAAUACAUGGAACUGAUUCUACAGGUCAUGUCCCUAGAAUCAGUGAAUUCAUAAAUGUUAUUGCCCUAAACAGUAGGGAAACGAAUCGAAUAUAAUGAGCUUUAACCCCCUAAGCAGUAGGGUAACAAGCCAAAUUUACAGACUUUAACCCCCUAAGUAGUAGGGUAAUAGGCUGAAAAUUACAGAUUUUGUCUCCCUGAAGUUGCAGUGGAACAGAUCGAAUCCAGUGAAUCUUGUCUUCCUGAAGUUGCAGUGAAGCAGAUUGAAGAUUUACAGAUCUUAACCCCCUAAGCAGUAGGGAAACAGAUCGAAGAUAAUGAGCUUUAACCCCCUAAGCAGUAGGGUAACAAGCCAAUUUUACAGACCUUAACCCCCUAAGUAGUAGGGUAAUAGGCUGAAAAUUAUAGAUUUUGUCUCCCUGAAGUUGUAGUGGAACAGAUCGAAUCCAGUGAAUCUUGUCUUCCUGAAGUUGCAGUAAAGCAGAUUGAAGAUUUACAGAUCUUACCCCCUAAGCAGUAGGGAAACAGAUCGAAGGUAACGAGCUUUAACACUCCUAAGUAGUAGGGUAACAAGCCGAAUUUGCAGAUCUUAUCACCUUAAGCAGUGGGGAAACAGAUCAAAGAAGAUGGGCCUUAACCCCCUAAGCAGUAGGGUAAUAGGCUAAAAAUCACAGAUCUUACCUCCCUGAGGUUGCAGUGGAGUAGAUCAAACACAUCAAAUUUUGCCUUAUCGAAUGCAGUGAAGCAGAUUCAAACCACCAAGCUUUAACCCCCUAAGCAGUAGGGUAACAAGCUGAAGUUUAUGGAUAUUACUGCCCUAAGCAAUAGGGUAACGAGCCAAAUUUUCAAACCUUAAAACCCUAAGCAGUAGGAUAAUAGGUUGAGUUAACAGAUCUAAACCCCUAAGCAGUACGGAAACAGAUCAAUGAUGACAAGCCUUAACCCCCUAAGUAGUAGGGUAACAGGUUGAAAAUCAAAUAGCUCCUCCCUGAAAUGGCGUUGGAGCAGCUAAAAGCUACAGCAGUUCUCUUCGAACUUUCAGUGGAAUUGAUUGAAGUCACAUGUCUUAGCUCCAUAGAGUCACAGUGGAGCAGAUCAAAACAAACCUUACCAUCUUGAAGUUGUAGUAGAGUAGUGAAGCGAAGCGAAGCAACAAGAUUGGAAUAAAGCUACCUGGAGAAAAUGAGCGCUAAACAAGUCCAGACAUAGUGAGACCGGGCAAAAUUGGUCUUUCUUAAGUCUUUGCUCUGUUCUUGUUACACGACAACAAGCAAAGAGGGGCAGCUGUACAAGCCCAAUUUUGGGCCCAAUACCCAAAACCCACUAAACCCAAACCAACUUAAACCUACCCAAAACCCAAAUAACCUAGCCCAAUACAUUAAAGAAAAUAAAUGAAAACCUAAAACCCUAGCCGUCAGCACAUGCCCCCCACCCAAUCCACCACCGACGCCUACAAGUGGCCUCUGCUCCACCACCCACUUUCCUACAAAGAGAGAUAAUGUAAUAUAAAAAAGGAUUUGUAAUGGCUAUUUAAGGCCGAAUCAAAGAACGAUGUAAGAAGGAGGACAUUUUGGUGAAAAAUAAAAUUUUUUAUUUUAAACACUAGCAAGAGCAGAGACCACGGCAAUAUCAAGAGCAAAAAAUAGUCAAAACAGAGAAUCAACAUCUAAUAGCCCAAGGUGAUUUCAUUUAGUUAUCAUCAUUAUUUUCUUUCUUUUUAACCUAUUUUACUCAAAAAUACACAUGUAUUAUAAACAUAUAAAAAAUACAAAAAAAUGAGGUAAAAAAAUAUACCUUUUUGAAACUCCGCGGUGGCCGGCCACGGCGGUCGGUGCGGCGGCGCUACGGCGGGCGACGGUCAGGCUGCUGGCCGGAGCCCUCAUCAGUACACGGGCCACCAGCAGAGAGGAGAGCUCUCUUCCUUUUUUUUUAAAAACACCGAAGAAAAAUGAAAUUUUUGAAGGAUUUUAGGCUUUUAUAGCCUUCCGAAACGGCACCGUUUUGGUGCCCAGGCCCAGACCCAAAACGACACCGUUUAGGCGCAACCCGAAUCAGACCCGACCCGCUAACCAGGGAUCCGCAUGUUUUCUCCAUUUUUGGGGUAUUUAUGCCCCUAAUCCCUCUGCCUUUUCCAUCUCCUUCAAUUGGAUCCCUUUCCUCUGCUUUUGUUUUUUUAUUUUAGCCCAUUAAUUCGGCUUUUGAUUCACUUUGGUCCGCAUCGAAACAGUGCAUUCUGAGGACUUGGAAUAAUUUCCUGAUCAGCCCCUCCAUUUAUUUCGCGUGUUCAAGUUAAUCCCCUUUUCCGUUGUUUAUUUUAAAUUCGCCUCAAAGUUCCAUUUUUAAUUCAAAUUUCAUCAUUUUUUCCCUCAUUAUUCUAAUUUUAUUUUAAUAUUAUUUAUAAUAUCAUAUUUUAUUAUUGUUGUAUUUUUAUUAAUAGUUCAUUAUUAUCAUUUUAUUUAAUACUUAUAUAUAUGUUAUAAAGUAUUAUUAAUAAUUUCAAUAUUAUUAUUCUUAUUAACGCAUAUGUAUGUUAAUAUUAUAUUAUAUUUUUAUACAAGUAUACAUAUUAACAUUAUACCAUGUAUAUAUUUUUUUAUAAAUAUCAUAUAUCUAUAUAUAUAUUUCUUAAAUAUAUCAUAUAUACUGUGUACAUACUUCUAAUACUAUCAUGCAUUCAUUUCAAUAUAUAUGUAUAUACCUAUGUAAUAUUAUUAAUAUUUAUUUUUAAACAUUAUUAUUAUUAUUAUUAGCAUAAAUAUAUACUAUGAAAGUAUUUCAAAUAUCGCAUUUUUAUUAUGUAUAUAUUUUAAAUACGGAUACAUUUCUUAUUAUGUGUAUAUAUCUCUUAAUAUUGUAUUUUAUGCAUAUACCUUAAUACUACGUCACUUCUAUAUUUUUAUUUCUCAUACUAUCUUAUAUUUAUAUUUCCAUUAUUAUACCAUAUCUAUUUAUUAGCAUAUCAUUAUCACUAUUAUCAUUAUAUAUUAGUGUACAUUUUUAUAUGUGUAUACAUACACAUUUAUAUAUAUAGUUUUUUUUAUAUCUAUACUAUUACUUUAAUUUAAUAUUUUUAUUAUACUUGCUUUUUUUGUAUUUCUAUAUUUUCAUUAUUAUCAUAUAGUAGCAUAUAUUUUCAUGUAUAUGUAUAUAUACGUUAUAUAGCAUUAUUAAUAGCUUAACAUUAUUGUUUUUAGGUAUUUAUAUGUCACAUAUGUUUUCGUUAAAUAUAUAUACAUUAAUCCCCUACUACUUCAUACUCACGUUUACUAUCAUGUUUCAAUACAUGCGCUAUUAUCGUUUCGUACUAUUGUUAUUAUUAUUAUCGUUUUCGUUUUCGUUAUUGUUGUCAUUUUUAUUCUUUGCCAUGUUUAUCAUUUGUCUAUAUUUGCAUACUGUUAACCUUGAUAUUACUUCAUCUUUUACGGUUGCUCAUAUUAUUGUUUUGACACCGUCACACCAUUAUUAUGUUCUUAUACAUGUCAAUGCUAUAUUUUACCUUUACGUUUUACUAUAAAUCUCGUCACUUUUUGCUCAAUAUAUUAUAACAAUUCUUUCAUAAAAGUAAUAUACGUUAUUAGGUAAUUUGCGAUAAUCGUGCCCUAACUUAUUGGGUUUCGACUUUUCUCAUUAGGCCUAAAUAACAGAAUAUUCUUUUAAAUCACAAUACGAGUCUUUAAAAAUGCUUAUUUUUGGAGAUAUGAAGUGUGGUGCCCUAACUUACCGGGUAUAACAUUUUGACACCUCGAAAUAAGAGCUUUUGCAAAUAAAGGUAAUGUUCGGUUUUCAAAAAUUCGAGGAAACGUGCCCUAACUUACUGGGUUUCGAUUUCCCUCGUUCACUCUAACCAACCGAAUAUCUUUUUAAAAGAAGUUAAAAUACAUUAAUUUUAAAUAAAAGGCAAACUCAAUUUCAAAAUUCAAGAUAUCGUGUCCUAACUUACUGGACGUGGUAUUUUAUUAUUGCGAGACGAGAAGAUCUUUAACGUUUGAACUUUUUACAAAGAGAAAGAUCGUAUUUCAAAGUAUUUUAAGUUUUAAAAUUUUCGACAUUGAGACACUAAUUAAUCAACUAAGUACCAAUUUUGGGCGUAUCGAGGGUGCUAACCCUUCCUCGUGCGUAACCGACUCCCGAACUCAUUUUCUUUUUUUCGUAGACCAAAAAUUAUCGUUUUAGUAAAUCUUAAAUUUUAUUAAAAUGAUUAAUCAAAGGUGAUCCGAUCACACCUCAUCAAAAAAGAUUGGUGGCGACUCCAGUUUUUCGUUUUCAUUUUCAAAAUCCAAGUCGACUAUCGUUUUUCAAAAGAAUGGUUACGACACCAACCAUUUUGAGUCUGUUUGAGAACGUUUGAGAGUCAUAUCUGCAAUGUCCUCGAUUUGUUCCUUGUAAGCACAAGAAUAUUAAAUCAUCUUGGUUCUGUUUCAGUACAAUCAUGUGAAGGUUAGAUCUGCUAUAUCUGAGAACAUCUGAGAGUCAAAUCUGCUAUUUCCUCGAUUUGUUCCUUGUAAACACAAGAAUACCAAAUCAUCUUGGAUCUGCUUCAGUAUAAACAUCUGAAGGUUAGAUCUGUUAUAUUUGAGAACGUCUGAGAGUCAAAUCUGCUAUGUCCUCGAUUUGUUCCUUGUAAACACAAGAAUACCAAAUCAUCUUGGAUUUGCUUCAGUAUAAACAUAUGAAGGUUAGAUCUGCUAUAUUUGAGAAUGUCUGAGAGUCAAAUCUGCUAUGUCCUCGAUUUGUUUCUUGUAAACACAAGAAUACCAAAUCAUCUUGGACCUGCUUCAGCAUAAAUGUCUGAAGUCUAGAUCUGCUGUUUUCAAUUUAUUUCCCAUAAGCACAGGGAUGCCAUGUUGAAAUCUUUGAUCUUCAUUGCCCCCUAGAGGACACGACCUGUAAGAUGAGUAUGUGCCUAUGCCUAAGUAUGCUAUGAUUGAAAUGAGUCGAAUGUCCUUAACAUGUUAUGAUGCAAAGUGCUGUGAAUAUGACCCCUAUCUCAGGUGUCAUCAUUCAUUCCUUCAUUUGUCUUUUUCAAAAUUUUAUUCUUACUCAGCUUGUAGGCCUUCCUCCAAUGCUAUGAUCUACUGAGGAUGUUUGUAAGAAUUGAAUCAUCCAUUUCUUUUUGGACUGGAAGAAAGAAAUCCCUCGAGUUCCUUCAUUCCUUACUUACGUGAAUUUCUCGAACAAUUGUCCUGUUUUAGUUUCUUGUAUUAUCUAGAAAUUCCAAAGUAAUGAGCAAAACUUCGUUUGUGAAAAUAUUUUAGUUCAUCUAUCAUUAUUUCAAUGCAACAUACUUUAAAAAUAUCGGAAGAUGAGUAAAUCUUUGAGAAUAAUUGGAUUCGAAUUGUUAACAGUACAAAGGAAAUAAGUAUGAUAGCAUAUCUUUAAGAAGAAAUAGAAUCUAAAGAUAGCAAACAGGAUAAAAAUUAAAUGCUCUAAAUAUCGCCGCUUGAGCGUCUAUACAUUAGUUCCCCGAAGCCUUUCUUGAGUUCGACAUGUGUUUAAAAGAUCCAAAGUACUUUGUUGAUGCCCCAAUGUACACUGUGCCUCACUCUCUGUCAAGUCAAAUAUAGCAAGGUUGCUGUGUGCCCUUCAAAAUUUGAGCUGCCUUUUCAGGUUUUUAACUCAAAAUCCCUUUGGUCACAAGGUGCCCUUUGUGGGUUUUCACCUUGGCCUCUUUAUUUUUUUUCAAAAUUCAAGGCGCCCUUUGUGGGUUUUCACCUUGGAUUCGUUUCUCUUUUAGACAAAGUACUUUUUUACUGAGUCUGAGUUCACCGGAUUGGGUAGUCUCUUUCCAUCCAUUUCUGUCAAAAUCAAUGCACCACCAGAAAAAGCCUUCUUCACGACGUAUGGCCCCUCCCAAUUUGGCAUCCAUUUUCCUCUAAAGUCCUUCUGAAUGGGAAGGAUUUUCUUUAGCACAAGGUCCCCCUCAUGGAAUUCCCUUGGACGAACCUUUUUAUCAUAAGCUUGCAUCAUACGCUUUUGGUACAUCUGACUAUGUCGGAUAGCCUUCAGCCUUUUAUCCUCAGUCAAGUUUAGCUGGUCAUAUUGAGACUGAACCCAUUCAGCGUCAUCUAACCUUAUCUCUGUUAAAAUAGAAAAGGUAUUUCCACUUCAAUAGGUAAAACUGCUUCCAUCCCGUAAACUAACGAGAACGGAGUUGCCCCAGUAGAAGUUCUAACAGAUGUUCGAUAGGCCAAGAGUGCAAACGGUAGCUUUUCAUGCCAAUCCCUAUAAGUCUCAGUCAUCUUUCCCACUAUUUUCUUAAUGUUCUUAUUGGCAGCCUCCACUUCCCCAUUUAUCUUUGGACGAUAGGGUGAAGAGUUGUGAUGCUUGAUUUUGAACUGGUCGCAAACCUCUGCUAUCGUUUUGUUGUUCAAAUUCAAUGCAUUGUCAGAUAUGAUCCUCUCAGGCAUUCCAUACCAACAAAUGAUUUCCUUAUUCAAAAAUCAACUUACAGCUGACUUAGUAACAUUUGCGUAAGAAGCAGCCUCUACCCAUUUUGUAAAGUAGUCAAUUACUACGAAAAUAAACCGACGUCUGUUCGAAGCUUUCAGCGAUAUUGGUCCGAUGACAUCCAUGCCCCACAUGGAAAAUGGCCAUGGAGACAUCAUGACAUGUAAAGGUGAAGGUGGUACAUGAAUUUUGUCCCCAUAAAUCUGACACUUAUGGCAUUUUUUGGCAUAGUUGAUACAGUCUCCUUCCAUAGUGGCCCAGUAAUAGCCAAACCUCAUGAUUUGUCUUGCCAUCGUGAACCCAUUUGCAUGCAUACCACAUACACCUUCAUGAACCUCUUCUAGAAUUAGCUUGGCUUCCACAGCAUCGACACAUCUCAAAAGUACUUGGUCUUUCCUUCUAUUGUACAGAACAUCCCCGUCUAAAACAUAGUCACAAGCUAACCUUCUCAGGGUUCGUUUGUCAUUUUCAGAUGCAUGUGCUGGAUAUUUACGAUCUCUUACAUAUCGCAAUAUAUCAUGAUACCAAGGAUUGUCAUCCUUUUCUUCCUCUUCAAGGUUACAACAGCUAGUUGGAAAUUCAUAGACACUCAUUUGAAUUGGUCUCAUCUCUUCCUCUUUGCUUGCCUUAAUCAUUGAAGCCAAGGUUGCUAAAGGAUCUGCCAUCUGAUUCUCAUCUCAUGGGAGAUAGUUGAAGGUGAUGUCAUCGAACUCUCUUAGUAACCCUAAAACUACCAUUCAAUAAUUGAUCAAUUUAGGGUCUUUUGUCUCUCAUUCACCUCUUAGCUGAUAGAUUACCAACGCAGAAUCUCCAUAUACUUCUAGGGUUUUUAUGCCUCUUUCUAUGGAUGCUUGGAGCCCCAUGAUGCAUGCUUCGUAUUCAGCCAUAUUAUUUGUACAGUCAAAAUCCAACUUGCACGUGAACGGGUAAUAGUCACCAUUCGGGGAUACCAAGACUGCCCCAAUUCCAUUUUCGACUGCAUUAGAAGCCCCAUCAAAAUUUAACUUCCAUAAAGAAUCUUCAGUUGCUGCUAUACACAUUAGCUCCUCAUUUGGAAAAUCAAAAUUCAAUGUCUCGUAAUCCUCCAAAGCUCUACUGGCCAAGAAGUCUGCCACUGCACUUCCUUUGAUAGCCUUCUGACUUACAUAGACUAUAUCGAACUCUGAAAGCAAAAUUUGCCAUCUCGCCAUUCUUCCAUUUAAAGCCGUUGAUUCCAUCAUGUAUUUUAAUAGAUCUAAUUUUGAGAUGAGCCAAGUAGUAUGGUAUAGCAUGUACUGUCUUAAUCUUCGUGGGGUCAAAAUCAACGCACAGCACAACUUUUCGAUUGGUGAAUAUCUCAUUUCACAGUCAGUGAAUUUCUUACUGAGAUAAUAAAUUGCCUUUUCCCUUUUCCCUGACUCGUCAUGCUGACCAAGCACACAUCCCAUAGAAUUGCUAAACACUGACAAGUAUAGUAUUAACGGUUUAUCUGGCCUAGGCGGAGAUAACAUUAGAGCAUUCAACAAAUACUGCUUGACUUUCUCAAAAGCAUUCUGGCAUUCUUCAUCCCAAGCACCUUGAUUGUGCUUUCUGAGGAGACGAAAGAUAGGAUUACAUUUCUCAGUCAAUUGUGAAAUGAACCGAGCAAUGUAAUUCAACCUUCCUAGGAAUCCUCAAACUUCUUUUUGAGUACGUGGUGGAGGCAACUCCCGUAUGGCUCUGACCUUGUCCGAGCCAACUUCAAUUCCCUUUUCACUGACUACGAAGCCUAAUAACUUCCCCGAUCUGGCUCCAAAGGUGCACUUUGCUGGAUUGAGCUUCAACUAAAAUUUUCUCUACCUUAAGAACAAUCUUCUCAAGACCUCAAUGUGUUCUUUUUCUAUUUGUGACUUGGCAAUCAUAUCAUCAACGUAUACCUCAAUAUCCUUAUGCAUCAUGUCAUGAAACAAGUUUACCAUGGCUCAUUGGUAUGUUGCCCCUGCGUUCUUCAGCCCAAACGGCAUUACUUUAUAACAAAAGUUGCCCCACAAUGUUAUGAAAGUAGUUUUAUCAAUAUCCUCUGGAUGCAUCUUUAUCUGAUUGUAUCCUGAGAAGUCAUCCAUAAAGGAGAACAACGAAUAUCUUGCUGUGUUGUCUACUAAAGUGUCGAUGUGUGGCAGAGGAAAAUUAUCCUUUUGGCUUGCUUUGUUUAGACCUCUGUAAUCAACGCACAUUCGUACCUUCCCGUCUGUCUUAGGGACAGGUACAAUAUUAGCUACCCAUUCAGAGUACUUCACUUCCUGCAAAAAUCCUCCAUCAAACUGCUUCUUGACCUCAUCUUUUAUUUUCAGGACAAUGUCUGGCCGCAUCCUUCGCAACUUCUGUUGGACCGGUUUACAUUCUUGUCUUAUCGGAAGAUGAUGUACUACAAUGUCAGUACUCAAUCCGGGCAUAUCCUGAUAAGACCAUGCAAAGAUAUCCUUGAAUUCCUGAAGCAACUCAAUCAAGCUACGCCUUGUGUCAUUAGUGAUUGGUGUUCCAAUUUUCACCUCCUUUCCUUCCUCUAGGGCUAUAUUCUCUAUUGCCUCUUUUUCAUGUGGCAUGAUUUGUUUCUCCUCCUGUUUUACCAUUCUUAAUAGAUCGAGAGAUACGUCACAAUCUUGAACAUCUUCAAAAUCCUGAGGCUCCUCUAAACACAUGUCUUGCUCACAAGAGAAAUCAAGAGCGGCAGUAUUAGCACUCAUAUCAUUGAUAUCUAGAGACCUGUGAGGGGUAUGAAAGAAUAUACAAAGAAUGAAUGAAUUUAAGAAUGAUCUUUCAUGUGCUAUGAAUAAAAGAAUAAGAGUUGUUAGAAUUUAAAGGAAUAUUGGUUGAUAAAAAUGAAGCAAUAAUCUUUUAAAUUGAUAAAAGUUAUGUUUUAUUUGAAUAAUAACAGAUGAACAUAAGCCUAUUUUCACAAACAUAAUCUUACUACUCCUAGGUCCUAGAGUAAUAAACAUGUUUCGAGAAUUACUCUGAAAAAUUUCUAAAGACUACAGGAAGAUCCUCAGCAGUCCAAUUGUUUAGAGAGCUCCUCGGUUCGUAAGGGCGAAUACCCUCAAGGUUUUCCUGUCCAAACCACUCACUAUGUACAACAUUGAUUUGAUGACUCUCUUCUACCAGCAACCCUCCUGACUUAAAGGUUUCAGAUAUAGGUGGGAAUGUCAUCAGUUCCCACCCUACUUCUCCUCCGUUCAAACGUGCCUUCCUUCUUGCUUGACGCUUUUCCAUCUCCUGUCUCUUUUGUUUAUGGUCUGGCUUAAAACCCAAACCAAAGCGAUCCUUCUUUUCCAUCAAUUUUGGGACUUGAAUCCCUCCUUGCAACUGUUUUCCUAGUCCUUUUCCUGGCAAUGCUCCUUUCCCCAUCAUUAUUUGCAGGGCCAUCCUUGUUGCUCUAGACAUUCUGGGAACCGGCACCUCGCUUCCCUCCGAAAUGAAGGUAGCAUUAACAAUUUCCAAGGAACGAAAAGAACACUCGAUAGCCUCCUCAUUUGUCUCCACAUAAGGAGGUUUACUAGUGACGGCUGCUAUGAUGUCCUCCUCUGCAUUGAUGGUUAUCAAGCGUUCAUCUGUCACCAACUUUAAUUUUUGGUGCAGUGAAGAAGGCACCGCUACUGCCGAGUGUAUCCAUGGCCUCCCUAACAAACAAUUAUAGGAGGGCUUGAUAUCCAUUACCAGGAAGUCAACUUCAUACGUAUUUGGUCCAAUCUCCAGAGGGAUGUCAAUUCGUCCCAUUACUUUCCUUUCAGUUCCGUCAAAGGCUCUUACCACAUUAUGACAUGUCUUCAUGUGCGAACUAUCGAUGGGCAAUCUGUUCAAUGUAGAUAAUGGAAGGACGUUCAAAGCGGACCCAUUAUCAACGAGUACACUUGGAAGCGUGUAUCAUUUGUAACGAGUGGUGAUGUGCAAAGCCUUAGUUGACCCUAUGCCUCCAGGUGGAAUUUCAUCAUCAUUGAAGUAGGUGAAAUUAUCAGCACUGAUGUUAUUUAUCAACCGGUCCAACUUAUUGACAGAUAUAUCAUGAGUGACAUAUGUCUCGUUGAGUACCUUCAACAACGCUUCUCGAUGCACUUCAGAGCUUAGCAGUAAGGCUAAAACUGAUAUGCGUGCUGGUUGCUUACGCAACUGCUCGACCACACUGUACUCACUAUGCUUAAGGAACUUUAGAAAUUCCUUAGCUCCCUUCUCCCUCACUGGCUCAUUAACAGGUACUUCACUCUUUUUCUUAAUUUCAACAUUCUUGGGUUUUGUGGGCUCCACUCUGACGUCCCCCAUAUCAUAACGCUUCCCACUCCGCGUAUGAGAACCUUCAUCUCGUACAUCUUUAGAUGCGCUGGCUAUGUUUCCUUCUCCCGGCACCGUCACGCUACAGUCAUAACUCCAUGGUACUUUCUUGCUAUCCUUGUAAGGGAAAGGAGUAAGUGUAUGGAUAAUAACCUUGGGCGCUGCUGGUAUCCCCAUUUUAUUAUUCCCUGGCAGGGAGAUAAUGAUCCUUGGUCUGCUGGUUCUUUGCUGUUCCAACAUACAUACUUGCUUUUCACUAGAGCUACCUUCAUAAACCUGUAGCUCUUUAUUGUCUAUGAAGCCUUGCACCAAGGCCUUGAAUUCCUCGCAAUCUUCACGGAACUCACUGUAGUCCCAUGUUCUUUCUUUCAUAUUUUUAGAGGUCAACAUACCUCUCUUCAUCAUCUCCUCCCAGAUUACCCUCAUAGGCAUCCUUAUCUCAUCAACAUUUUCCUUUUCCCUUUUUCCACCGGCUUCACCAAUGGCAUUUACUCCCUGAUUGUCAUGGUUUGGCAAAGGAUUCUCAGUAUUUGAGGUACUCUCAAAUUUCAAAACCCCAUUCUUGAUCAACCUCUCUACGGCUUUCUUAAAUUCAGUACAAUUCUCGAUUGAGUGCCCCGAUAUUCCAGCAUGAUAUUCACAUCUGGCAUUUGCAUCAUACCAUUUAGGAUACGGAGGUUGUAAUGGUUUUAAAUGAAAAGGGGCUAUAGCAUGCGCAUCAUAUAGAUUUUGAUAGAGCUCCCUAUACGUCACAGGUAUAGGCGUAAAUUGCAUCCUCUCAUGCCUAGUGUUGGAUUCCUGCUUUUGAGAGCCUUGUUGCCCAACUGUGGCUACUUUGGGCUGGCUAACUGUGACUGCUUUUGAAUUAAAAUCACUUGUAUUGUUUACCUCGUUGUCUUUUCUACUUGGGGCUGAUCUUUUGGCUACUUCCCCCUCAAUUCUCCCCCCUCUUAUGGUAUUCUCUAUCAUCUCUCCUGCCAUAACUAUGUCCGCAAAACUUUUAGUAGUGCUUCCAAUCAUAUGAGUAAUAAAUGGGGCUUUCAGAGUAUUAAUAAAUAACAUAGUGGUCUCCUUCUCCAACAGUGGUGGUUGAACCUGCAUCGCUACCUCUCUCCACCUCUGUGCAUAUUGCCUAAAAUUCUCAUUAGGCUUCUUCUCCAUGUUUUGCAGGGUAAUUCUGUCAAGGGUCAUGUCUGUUACAUGAUUGUACUAUUGCAUGAAGGCUUGUGCAAGAUCCCUCCAUGAACUUAUUCUAGCUCAGCUCAACUGAUUGUACCAUCUGGCUGCCGCUCCUAUCAAACUAUCUUGAAAAUAAUGGAUCAACAGCUGAUCAUUGUUUACAUACCCCGUCAUCCUUCUGCAAAACAUUGUGAUGUGGGCCUCUGGGUAAGUAGUGCCAUUGUACUUUUCAAAUUCUGGCAUUUUGAAUUUGUGAGGUAACACUAGGUUUGAGACCAGACUUAAGUCCUUGGCAUCAACCCCAUGAUUAUUGCCAGUGCCUUCCAAAGCCUUGAACUUUUCUUCUAACCAUCUGCAACGUUCAUCCAAUUGCCUUACAACUUCGACCUUCAAAUCCUCUUUUUCCACCAUAUCUAGAUCGGGAACAAGAGGAUUAGUAAGAUUGUCACCCAUAUUAAGCCCUGAACCAACCGGGAAAUUCACAUGGACACCAGCAUCAAUUGGCCCAUGCUGAGGCCUCACAGUAGUAGAUGGCCUUCUAGGAGGUGCCUCAGUUUGCAAUGAUACAUGCGGCGGUGUAAGACCUAGAGGAGGACCCUCAUUUUCCUCCUCAGUGAUGGCCAUAGGAGCCCUUCCUUUAUCAGUGGCCUUCAGUAACUGAGCCAUUUCGGCCAUUAUAUUCCUCUGAGCUUCCAUCAUUUGCUCCUUCAUCUCAUUCUGCAUUUUAGCCAACUACUCUUGCAACUGGUCUUGCAUAUCCUUUUGUAACUACUCAAACCUUUGAUCCAUGUUCUUAGUUUUAGUGCGAGUGCCGUAAGGAUGUGUGAUUUCCAGUUUUUCUUUUCUACCUUUAUAAAGAAACUUUAACUAAUUAGAGUCUUUCUAUAACCUUGAAUGCAUAUGAUGUGAUGUAAUGCAAAUGUAUGAAUGCAGUAAAGGCAUCAAUCUCGAUUCAAUCUCAUUUAGAAAAAUUUAUUUAGAAAAAGAAUAUCUUUACAUAUAAAUGGAUUACAAGUAUGCUUUCGCCCUAAUGCCCAAAGUUUUAACUCUAUCUAAUAAAAGGGCUAACUCUCUUCCUAUGUCUGACGACGACUCACGCAUCAUACUCAAUACAUCGGCUCGUACUGCCAAGUCUUGCACAUAUUCAGCAACCUCUCGAAUCUGAGCUAUGGCUUCUCCCAUGACAUGAUCCCUUUCUCUAAUCUGCCCUCUGGACUGAUGAAGCUCUCCCUUUAGAUAAUCUCCUUGCGUCUCGAGUUGCUCGAUCUAAAGUUUACCUUCCUGCAAUGCUGCUUCCAAAUCUUCAACUUUACUCUUUAGCUCUUUUAACUCGACCGUAGAAUUAUGGUUGUGAUGCCAAUGAAGGAUCUUCCAAGCUCAGUUAUUUUAGACUUCAACCUUUUAUUCUCUUCUUCUAGUGCCAAAUUCCGCGAUUGCAUCUCCUGAAACUUCUUCUCCCAGUACUCAGCUCUAGCCUUUCCUUCUUGGACCUCUUUCUGCAGCUAAUCUGAAGACCCUCCUAUUUUCGCUCUUCUCAAGGAUACCUGUGCCUUUUUAUAGUGUUUCUUCAAAUCAUCUCUAUCCUCUUCAAUUUUCCUCUUUUCCUUUCUUUCUUUCUCGACCUCCAUCUUCUGGACAUUGAUAUCUAAACUCAAGUAAAUCUUUUCUUCUUCGAGCUUUGCUAUCCUUUUCCCAAGCUCCAAAUUUUUCCUCUCAAAUUCUUGCUUCAUAAUUUCUAACUCCGAGGGCAUCACUUGUAGAUAUUCCUCCAUCGGUCAAGCUCCUUCCAUAUUUGGCUCAGGAAUAUUAUCAUUGAUCCUCUUACCUCUCCAUUCAACAUAUUCUGGAAUUGUAGUAGGGCCAAUAGCUACUCCUCUCAACCGACAUGUCUUGUUCCAAGCGCUAGAGAUCUCACCGACCCUUUUUUUGUAAUCGGCUCCUCUAUAUGCGAACUCACUUUGAGUUAGCCCAUGAGUUGCUGGCACGAAUUGCCUCAAAUCGAAUUGCCUUAACACGAGCAAGGGGGCAUAACCAAUGGCACCCCAAAUUCCCAAUAAAGGGACCCAAUCGAAACUGCCGCAACGGUAAAGAAUCUCACCAGGAAUCAUCCAUGGAGCUCUCCACUCAACAUCUUUCGACUGAAGAUUUUGAAGUAGUGCCAUCCAAUUCUCCUCUGGAACAUCAACUCUCCUAGAUGAAGCGACUAUAUCCUUUAGUGGUGAGUAAUCCUCGAAGAAAACCUGACAAACGACCUUAUCUAUCAACCGAAAAUUACUAUAGAACCAAGCUAGAAGCAAUUGUGCACAACCAAAAAACCUGCCUGCACCAGCUUUCCUACAUGUGCCUAAGGACCUGAAUGUCUCUGCCAAAAUUGCAGGGACAGAGGUGACCCUCUUACUGAGUCUAUGGAAAAGAUCCGUGGUUGCCUCAUCCACAUAUCCCAAAGCCCUAGGGAACACCAUCAAUUCGUACAAACUUAAGGCAAAAACAUCUACCCUAUUUGCUUCAUCAGGGUGUGUCAAAAUCAGACCCUUCAAAGCAUCCCAUGAAAUGCACUUGCACUCGCCCUUCUCUUUAAUUUUGGCAGUAAUCCACUGCUUGCUCAUCCCUGUAAUAGCCAUCAAUUUCUUCCAAAAGGUAGGGACAUUAACAGCUCGAGAAUAGAUUCUAUCAACCUAGAACCUGGGACAACGUAAUAAGGCAGUGUACUCCUCUACGGUAGGCACCAAGUCUACCUCCCCGAAAGUAAAGCAACUGUACGCUGGAUUCCAAAAUUGAGCGAGGGCUCGGAAUAAGUGCUCAUCUAUUUGAACAUCGAGCAAGUAAGGUAAGUCUCCGUAAUUACCGUAGAAUAAUUGUUUAGUCUUGUUGCCCUAUUGAUCCUAAAUCUCCUUAAGCUCUUGGAGAUUAUUCUACGUAACACUGAUGCAAGUAUAUCAUGACAGCUCCGACAUAUAUCCCACAGCUAUACUAUCUCCCUUUUGCUAACUGAGUUUGCUCAGACCAUCUAUGGACGUUGGCGUUGCCCUCCACUCUAUCAAGAAGUCCGUUCUCCAUAAUAAAACUCUCUAAUUUAGACACUGACCGUGAAUCGAUACCUUUGUAAAUGCAAAAUGUCAUGCAAACAAAAGAAAAGAAAUAGUCAGUAUCACAUGAUAUCAAUAAAUCUCAACAAUAAUUUAUAAGGGUAAUAUCUAAAGUUUAACUCUAACUAAGUUAGGCUCUUACGGUUUUUUCUAUAUGAGGCUGGUUCUAAAGUUUGAGGUACCUGAACCAGCAGAUUCCUCGAUCCUCACCCAUUAUAGGCUCAUUUGAAUCGAGUUCAGUUCAGGGGAAUACAUUUCCCUAUGGCUACACGGAGAUGAAAAUAUCACGAAACCAUAGGUACGGAUGUAUCCCAAAAGUGAUCCACUAUCCUGCACGGAGGCGAAAACCUCACGAAGGCGUAGCUUCUCACUCUCACUUAAGGGUGUGACCACAACGGUCAUGUAAAUGCAAUGCGUAUUAGAAUAUAGCAACACAUGCAAUAAUACAAACACAUGUAAUGCAAAGAGGAUUAAAUCUUAAAAAUUUUUAAAUUUCUGACAUUAAGACAAGAGAUAAUCAAUUACACGGCUUGACUCUCUUAAACGUCCCUAGUGGAGUGGCCAAGCUGUCGAGACCAUUUUUAAAUCGGGUUUUUGAAAAUGGGAAUCGACUUUAAAAACGAAAACGGAAGUCGCCACCAAUCUUUUUAGGUGUGAUUGGAUCACCUUUAAAACAUUUGUUUUAAAAUCAUUGGUUUUGGUCUACGAAAUCAAAAGAAUGGGUUCGGGAGUCGGUUACGUACGAAGAGGGGUUACACCCUCGUAGCGCCCAAAAAUUGUUACCUAAUUGAUUAUCAAAAUGUCUCUAAUGUCGGAAAUUAAAAAUUUUAAGAUGUAAUCCUCUUUAAAGUAUUUGAAAAUUUGGGUUUACUUGUAUCAAAGUAUUGACUAUAAGUUAGCCUUUUAGAAAUCUCUAUCUCAAAACAGCAAAAUGUUACAUCCAGUAAGUUAGGACAAAUCACUUUGCAAUUCUAAGGCAGUCACUUAUAUUUUGAAAUCCUUUAAAAACCUUAGAAGGGUACUUGACUAUUCGAACUUAACGAGAAAAGUUGCAACCCAAUAAGUUAGGGCACUACUUUUUUGAAAUUUCCAAACACCAAGCAUUGCCUUUAUAUUUUUUGGAAAUUUUGGAGCCUUGUCUUUUUAAAGAUGAUGCGUGGAGAAUUGUAUUACAUUAUAAAUCAUAAUAAUUUAUUAUUGUACUAGGUAGAUAAAAAUGAAUACUACGAUAAAAAGAAUAAUACAUAUAAAGCAAAAAAAAUGCAAACAAAGAUAUAUAUAUAGCAUGUAUUGAAAAUGAAUAAACAAAGUAUACAAACAUACGAAAUAAUAUUUGCAUGAUAUAAACAAAACAUAAUCGAAUAAUGUAUGAUAUAUAAAUAGAAGAAAUAUAGUGUCAAUGUGCAUGUUCACAAAAUACAACAUAUAAUAAUAAUAAUAAUAACAUUUAUAAUAAAAUAAUCUUAUAAUGUAAAAAUUAAAAUAAAACAAAUAAUAAAUAUAUAUAUAUAGGAUAAUAAAAUAAAUAUAAGAUUGAAUUUAAAGUUUAGCAAAAUUAUGGGGCAAAUUUUGAAAGGAAUAGAAUUGAAUUAAAGCCCUAUUUAAAACGCGUGCAAAAUCCAAAGGGCUAACUGGGCAAAUUGCCCUAUUCCCAAAACGGCGACGUUUUCCAGAAUACAAUUAUAACCAUCAGGACUCAAUUAAAACUGAAACAAAAUUAAUAGGGGCCCAAUCAUAAAUAAAAUAAGGUUUUAAUUGUAAACGCAAAAAGGAGUAGAAGGACUGGUUGAGAAAUUAACCCAGUUAUAAAAAACGCGCAGAUCCUCCUCGGGUAAUCGGGUCAACACGCGGAUCCUGAGGGUCUAAAACGCUGUCGUUUUGACAAGGCUAUAUAAGCCAAAUCUUCAGCUUUAAAAUCAUUUAGAAACCCAGUUUCUAAAAAAAAACAAAAAAAAAUCCUCUGAAAAGGAUCCCUGGUCCUCUGAGCUCCGGCGUUUAGCCGAUCAGCUCUGGUCAUUGGACCUCCGUACUGAGAUCCACGCGCCACCACCGACUCCGCCACACACGACGGUCGGAACUUGAAAAGUUUCACUUUUCAAGGCGAUUCUCCAGGUAUUCUCUCCCUCUAUCUGUUUAAUAUAUUAUAUGCAUAAACUUAUGAUCAAGAGAAUGAAACAGAAAUAAAAAUAUGUCACCUUUGUCUUCUGUAAAAAAAAAUCUCUGGUAUAUUAUUGCAAAAAAGAUUAUGUGCACAAUAUUUUGGUAUCUCUCCCUUGUGUGUUUUCCUUUUACAGAUUAAAAAGAAGGCUUUAUAGCCUCAAUAAACUACUACAAUUUUUGGAAAGAAAUCUCCGAUUUCUUUUCGUAUUUGCUUCGCAUGUCUGCUGUGAUUUUCUUUCCUUUUCUUGCAGGUGCUUGCGAAAAAUCCGGCAAUGGAAGGGUUGCUGGCGUUGAUGGAGGCCUGAAGUCUGGUGAUGGUGUCGGUGAGGCGCUGAUUACGGAAGUAGAGCCUUGAGUGAUGGCCUCGAUUGGGGAGCCGGACAGACGAUCCCCGAAUCUUCCAGAAGCAGUUGCGGCGUAAGGGAGCAGAGCUAGGGUUGGAAACCCUAGCUGGAAAUUUUGGGUUUUGGGCCUAGUUCAUUUUGGGCCGUUGUAUUGGGUCAAAGGGGUAAUGGGCAUAGGAUAGGCUUACGGGGUAUUUGGGCUACCGGGUGUAACAGGUCUAUUUGGGUUUUAACUUUUGGGCUGUAAAGGGACUGUUUAAUAAACAUUUAUUUAUUAUUAUUUAAUUUUGGUUUUGGGUUUCAAGGCCCGGUCAAAUUUGGGGUUAUUACAAUGUAUAUAUAAAAAUAUUGAAGAUUUUUAAAUGAAUGAUAAAACCGUUGUAAGGAUACAUCAAGUUUUAAAAUGAAAAAUAUUUAACAGCACAA